rnacentral:rRNA from 1 species
UACAGAGGGUGCAAGCGUUGUUCGGAAUUAUUGGGCGUAAAGGGCGCGUAGGCGGUGCGGUAAGUCUUUUGUGAAAUCUCCGGGGCUCAACUCGGAGUCUGCAGGAGAAACUGCCGUGCUUGAGUGUGGGAGAGGUGAGUGGAAUUCCCGGUGUAGCGGUGAAAUGCGUAGAUAUCGAGAGGAACACCAGUGGCGAAGGCGGCUUCCUGGACCUGUUCUGACACUGGAGGAGCGAAAGCGUGGGGAGCGAUCCGG